rnacentral:rRNA from 1 species
UAGGGAAUAUUGGGCAAUGGAGGCAACUCUGACCCAGCCAUGCCGCGUGCAGGAAGACGGUCCUCUGGAUUGUAAACUGCUUUUGAAUGGGAAGAAUGUGUGGCUUGCGAGCUAUAAUGACGGUACCAUUAGAAUAAGCCACGGCUAACUACGUGCCAGCAGCCGCGGUAAUACGUAGGUGGCGAGCGUUAUCCGGAUUUAUUGGGUUUAAAGGGUGCGUAGGCGGCUUAAUAAGUCGGUGGUUAAAAGUAGCAGCUUAACUGUUUUACAUGCCAUCGAUACUGUUGAGCUUGAGAUAUUUGGAGGCAGCUAGAAUUUCCGGUGUAGCGGUGAAAUGCAUAGAUACCGGAAGGAAUACCAAUUGCGAAGGCAGGUUGCUACGAAUAAACUGACGCUGAUGCACGAAAGCGUGGGGAUCAAACAGGAUUAGAUACCCCGGUAGUCCACGCCGUAAACGAUGAUUACUAGUUGUNNNGGUUUAAGCCUCAGUGACCAAGGGAAACCGAUAAGUAAUCCACCUGGGGAGUACGCCGGCAACGGUG